GCAAGCUAUGUACCAUGUGCAUCUUCUCCCAAUAGAAGCUUCCAAAGGAAAUUCCACAAUAAAUGUCACCGAAUUUUACAGAGAUAAAAUAUUUAAAUCUUCAUGGAUUCAUUCCAACUGGACUAAUACAGGGGUGAUUUGGGUCUGUGACUUGCAUUUGAAACAUAAGAAGUUAUUCUGCAGGCUGAAUAAAUGAUACUGGAAAGCAGGAGAGCCAUUCUCAGCUGGGUUUGAUUCCUUUCACCAGAAGAGAUUCUGAUUCUCAGACUGAGGAGAGAGAAUUCAGGUUGUCUGCUCAAAGAAGGCAACUGCUGGACAGCUUGCAGUCCCUGUGGCCACACCAGAACCCCUUCCUGGUCGUGCACCAAGAAACCCAGACUCCUCUAAUGGGAAACAGCACUAGAUGGUUUGAUUCUUUCUAUACCACAUCAAGUCAGAGAAUGAAAGGAGGACUUCAGAGAAAACAGGAUUUGAAUGCCUGUCCCACGGCUCCCAGGAAAGCCCUCAGCAGUUUGCAGGCUGCACCACUGAAGCUGGACUGGCAGCCCCUUGGCUGCAGAGCCGCUCUCAGGAUGGAGCACCUCCCGACCAAGCACACCAGCAGCUCAGCCCUUUCUGGCACAGUCAAAAACAAACGUUCCAGCACCCCUCUGAUUUUCAUUCACCAGACCCUGCACAACUCACAACAAUCCAUCAGAACAACAGGUUCUUAUUUCCAUGUUUGCUUUCCCAGUGCUUGCAGUGCACUGAAGGCUGAUGAAGAUUUCCCAAAGCAUCAACUGCGAUCUGAAGAGAAGCACCUUGAUUAGAGAGGCACUGAAGAGCAGCUACAGAGUCAUACAGCUCUGUCACUCUAAAGAGUGAGGCCUGGUAGCUGUUAUCUCUUUUCCCACCAAGAUGAAGAGGAAACUCGCUUGGUAUUUCUAAAGUACAGUUUUGCUUAAUUAUGCUGUCUGAUCACUUUAAAGCCCUAUUUGCACACAAACAUGGUACAAAUUAACUGUAGGAGAACAAGCUAACUGAUAAGGGUGACUAUGCAGAUAGGUUUGAAUCCCUUUCAAGACAGAAGUUAUUUACAUCUGUUUUGAACCAUUGGAAGCAUCUGAAGCUGCGCUGUAUCCUUGCCUCCUGUCUGGAUGAAACCUGGAUGGUCCCAAUUUCAGGUUUUGCAUGACACUCCACUGCACCUCAGACUGCUCAGAGAACAGCCAUGCCGUUCCAGAGAAAAUAGCUCCCUCAAAGCCAGGGAGAGCACCUAGUGGUGUCCUGCUUUGUGCCCAGAUCAGUCCAGUGGGACCUCCCUAGUGAAAAGGAGCCAGUGCAGCUGUAAAUGAAGUGUGCUAAAAUUUCCAUUAACUCUUGGGUGUUACUCAACCUGCCCAGGUAAUGAGCUGACUGAGAGGAAAGGCAGCAGGGGAGGGUGAGGAAGAGGAGGCAAACAACCACAGCCCCCAAGGUACUGUUGGUACCAGGGGAUGCUGCUUUCCUGGAAAAGAUGAAGCAUGUGAAAACUUGAGGUGAGAGUAACUAGUAGGCCUGGGGGAGAGCACAGGUAGGAAGGACAGUGUAAGAAGCAAGGGAACAGCUAUGAAGGCAGGACUAGCCAGAGCAGGGAACACUGCCAGGAAUCAUGCUGAUUACUUAUUUUUAAGCAGUCUAUGGUUCACAGUUACAAGCUGUGCUUCUACAGACAGGCAGUGAUGGCUAUUGGAAAGUUUGUACUUCAGAUAUGCAAAAAGCUGAAUCGUUGAAUGGAUUAAUCUAUAAGUUACAGAAUUUGUUUUCUGUGUAAUAGUUCUCUCCUGCACACUAGAAUCUAUUUCUUCUGAUGCAGGUGAUUCCUAGUUUGCUUUUCUGGGCUACAAAUAUGGACAGCUUAGGGUCCAGAGAAGCUCACUCUCUCCCUUCCCCCCACCUUCACUCUUAUUCCAAGUCAAGCCAGUGUAAGGGAUUUUACAAAAAGAGGCAGUUAUAACGGAGUCAAUAUCACAUUACAUUUACAUUUUAAGGAGUUUUAGGAGAGGUAUACAUGAGUAUUGUUCAUCUCAGCUUGUUCUAUUUAGGGAGGCUUAGAAUAACAUUGCAAAUGACAUGUCUACUCCGAUAAAACACUAGAGGGCUUGGAUGCCAUCUUGCACUUCGGCAGAACAGUAAAUACAAAGAGCCUUACUAUGGGAAUAUGAAUAUUCACUAGCAACAGAGAGAGGUGAAUUGUUAUGCAAGUGGCAAUAUCUACUGCAUACACUGAAAUUCCUCUUGCUUCACUCUACUGCACAAUGUUCCUCUGCUUUUAGAUGGAUGUAUCUGAAUAUAUUUUGUGCCGUUAGCAUUUUUAUAAAAUCUGACAUGAACUGAUCUAGUUUAAAAAAACCCCAAACAACUGAAUACCACAUUAUUUGUAACACAUUACAUUAAUCAGCUCGUUAGAAACAGCUCAGAGAAGACAUGUUCCUCUACAAGCUUAAAUACUAUUUUCUGCAGAAAGUAAUAGAUGAGUUAAACACAAAUAGGAAAGCUUAGUGAGGUGUAAAGUCUCACAUUAGAACUUCAAGUGAUGUAAUUUUAAACUGACCUAAUACUAUCUUAAGUCUGAUUAUUCGAAA